GGAGCGGUGUCCGAGCGGUUGAAGGAGGCGGUCUUGAAAACCGUUGAGCCCGUAAGGGUUCCGGGGGUUCGAAUCCCCCCUGCUCCG
rnacentral:tRNA from 1 species